GUUGAUAAUAUUUACUCGUCAGAUGGAGUAAAUCUUGGAAACACGGAUAAAUCGUUCCAGUUUCGAAAGAUGAUAACUUUAGAAGUAACUGGCGAGGAAUUCUCCAUUGCACACGCUGGUGAAAGUAUUUUAACGGUAAGUCACAGUCGACAUUUUUAUCUUCGGAUCUGGUUUCUCAGUCGUUACCUCGGCUGUACACAACGAAAGUACAACACU